rnacentral:rRNA from 1 species
UAGGGAAUCUUCCACAAUGGACGCAAGUCUGAUGGAGCAACGCCGCGUGAGUGAAGAAGGUUUUCGGACCGUAAAGCUCUGUUGUUGGUGAAGAAGGAUAGAGGUAGUAACUGGCCUUUAUUUGACGGUAAUCAACCAGAAAGUCACGGCUAACUACGUGCCAGCAGCCGCGGUAAUCGUAGGUGGCAAGCGUUGUCCGGAUUUAUUGGGCGUAAAGCGAGCGCAGGCGGAAGAAUAAGUCUGAUGUGAAAGCCCUCGGCUUAACCGAGGAAUUGCAUCGGAAACUGUUUUCUUGAGUGCAGAAGAGGAGAGUAGAACUCCAUGUGUAGCGGUGGAAUGCGUAGAUAUAUGGAAGAAUACCAGUGGCGAAGGCGGCUCUCUGGUCUGCAACUGACGCUGAGGCUCGAAAGCAUGGGUAGCGAACAGGAUUAGAUACCCUGGUAGUCCAUGCCGUAAACGAUGAGUGCUAAGUGUUGGGAGGCUUCCGCCUCUCAGUGCUGCAGCUAACGCAUUAAGCACUCCGCCUAGGGGAGUACGACCGCAAGGUUGAAACUCAAA